CAGUCGCCGCGGUAAUACGUAGGGUGCGAGCGUUGUCCGGAAUUAUUGGGCGUAAAGGGCUCGUAGGCGGUUUGUCGCGUCGGGAGUGAAAACACUGGGCUUAACCGAGUGCUUGCUUUCGAUACGGGCAGACUAGAGGUAUGCAGGGGAGAACGGAAUUCCUGGUGUAGCGGUGAAAUGCGCAGAUAUCAGGAGGAACACCGGUGGCGAAGGCGGUUCUCUGGGCAUUACCUGACGCUGAGGAGCGAAAGUGUGGGGAGCGAACAGGAUUAGAUACCCCCGUAGUCCCUGUCUCUUAUAC
rnacentral:rRNA from 1 species